UGAGUGAAGAAGGCCUUCGGGUUGUAAAGCUCUUUUGUCAGGGAAGAAACGGUGAGGGCUAAUAUCCUUCGCUAAUGACGGUACCUGAAGAAUAAGCACCGGCUAACUACGUGCCAGCAGCCGCGGUAAUACNUANGGUGCAAGCGUUAAUCGGAAUUACUGGGCGUAAAGCGUGCGCAGGCGGUUUUGUAAGUCUGACGUGAAAUCCCCGGGCUCAACCUGGGAAUUGCGUUGGAGACUGCAAGGCUAGAAUCUGGCANAGGGGGGUAGAAUUCCACGUGUAGCAGUGAAAUGCGUANAGAUGUGGAGGAACACCGAUGGCGAAGGCAGCCCCCUGGGUCAAGAUUGACGCUCAUGCACNAAAGCGUGGGGAGCAAACAGGAUUANAUACCCUGGUAGUCCACGCCCUAAACGAUGUCUACUANUUGUCGGGUUUUAAUUAACUUGGUAACNCANCUAACGCGUGAAGUANACCGCCUGGGGAGUACGGUCGCAAGAUUAAAACUC
rnacentral:rRNA from 1 species